AAGAAUGCGAUAUGCAAUGUGAAUUGCAGAACCACGAAUCAUCGGAUAUUUGAACGUAACUGACGCUAAUUUAGCAUACUUGUUUCAGUGUGCUCAAACAAAUAAUCACAAUCUAAAUGUGGGAGAAUCUCUCCCAUGAAAUAAAUGCUCCUUGCAGCAGUCACAUUCAUUUGUGAGCUACUAGGAAUACUAACUACUUUAUAUGCACCUGAAAUCAAGUAAGAUGACCCGCUGGACUUAA
rnacentral:misc_RNA from 1 species